rnacentral:rRNA from 1 species
UACGGAGGGGGCUAGCGUUGUUCGGAAUUACUGGGCGUAAAGCGCACGUAGGCGGCUUUGUAAGUUAGAGGUGAAAGCCCGGGGCUCAACUCCGGAAUUGCCUUUAAGACUGCAUCGCUAGAAUUGUGGAGAGGUAAGUGGAAUUCCGAGUGUAGAGGUGAAAUUCGUAGAUAUUCGGAAGAACACCAGUGGCGAAGGCGACUUACUGGACACAU